CGACAGCUGUCAGCAAGACACAGCCAUGAGGGGGCGGGCACAGCCCACGGGGGUGCAGCCCAGACACCCCACCCUGGAGAUGGUGCUUCGAGCGGAGGACACCCUGCGGCCAGCCCUCGCCACACGAGGCCGGAGAAGCCCCAGUUCAAUCCCUGAGCGAGGUCAGUUCCCACGUCCUCCAUUGCAACGGGGGCAAUGCCAGAAGCAACGACCAAGCCAGCGCCACAGGACACCACACAGGCGUGGGUGGGGCACUGGUGGCGUGAGUGAGGAGGCUCACGCCAAACCGGAGCUGCCCGACUGGCCCAGAGCCCGUCCACGUGGACGGGGAGCCGCCACCCACCUUCUUGACUUGCUGGCACCAGUCGUCAAAAUCGUCCUCGGUCUGGCAGAAAAACCCCUGGAAUGAGAGCGUGCCAACCGUCCUCAGUUCCCUGGCCUCUGCCCCUCUCCGCCAGCGCCGUCCACGGCUGGACCUCGGGCCCCUGCCCCGCCUGCCAGCCCCAGGGGUGCCACCACGAGGACCGGGCACUCACCGACGUAGCCGAUGAAGUAGUGGGCACUAUUGGGCUUGCCUCCGAUCACGCCCAGGGACUGCGGCAUCAUGAAGCAGUGCUGGCGGAGGG